GCCAGGGUAGCUCAGCCUGGGAGAGCACUCGGCUGAAGACCGAGCUGUCGCGCGUUCAAAUCCCGCCCCUGGCACCA
rnacentral:tRNA from 1 species